rnacentral:rRNA from 1 species
GACGAACGCUGGCGGCGUGCUUAACACAUGCAAGUCGAACGGCGAACGAGGGAGCUUUCUCCCUCCGGAUCAGUGGCUAACGGGUGAGUAACACGUGAGCAAUCUGCCCCGAACUCUUGGAUAAUCGUUGGAAACGACGUCUAAUACCGGAUACGACGCGGGAGGGCAUCCUCUCCGCGUGGAUAGAACUUCGGGUCGGGAUGGGCUCGCGGCCUAUCAGCCUGUUUGUGAGGUAUCGGCUCACCAACGCGACGACUGCUAGCCGGCCUGAGAGGGUGGACAGCCACAAUGCUACUGAGACACGGCCCAGUCUCCAACGUUGGACAGCAGUGGGGAGUAUUGCACAGCGGGCCCAAGCCGGAGGCAGCAGCGCUGGGGGGGGGAAGACGGCCUGCGGGUUGUGAACCUCUGCUAGUAGGGACGAAGCGGAUGUGACGGUACCUGCAGAAAAAGCACCGGCUAACUACGUG